GGUUUGCUGCGGGGUGCGUGAUACAUCUAUUUAUCCCGGAGGCCGAUGCUUUUCGCAUAGGGAGCUGUCCCUGACCUUAUCCACUCUCUUUGCAUUGGGGAUUUGAUUAUUACGGCGCCCACCUGGUUACCAGGGUCCCAUGCGGAUAUUGCUUUGUACACGGCCUUUGCGGCGCCCAC
rnacentral:other from 2 species